AGUUAGUAAUAAAAAACUGGAAUAAAAAACUGAAAUGACAGAGAAGAUUAGCAUGGCCCUUGUGCAAGGAUGACACACAAAUUCAUGAAGUAUUUCAUUUUUUC